GUGACGGUUCCUCCUGGUUGUCAUCUUGACGGCAUGUAGCAUCAACUGAUGUGCGUGCCUCUGGGCUCGCCUGCCAGGAGUUUUCUUGAUCAGAUUAUUUGAACAGAGAGACCCACCCGAAAUGUGGUGUCAGCCCAGAUAAAAGGAUGUGGUAGAGGAGACUGCUUUUCGAGUGUCUGCCUUCACUCCUCUGGAGAGUCCUUCUGUCCUGUUGCUGUGGUAACCCUUUGGUGAUGUUAGAACCAGCUUCCUCAGGUUCCAACGGAGACAGAAGACAGUUGGCCCUCCAGGAAUGCUCGAGGUCUUCAGCACCGGACUGGAAAUGUUGAGACCUGAAGCCUGGGUGACUGAGCAGCUCUGGGAUUCUCAGCUUCUCCAGGAAGUCAAUCGUGCUCACAGAUCUGACCACUCAGCAUCUGACCCCACAGCAAUCCAGGUUUCCAGACUCCUGAAAGCCAUGUGCAGUGACCGGGCGGUUCUCCCCUGGACAUCCCUUCUCCCUUGUCACCCUCAGCAACAGAAAUCUUGAGUGACUAACCAGUCUUUUUCUCUAAU